GGUGGGAGGACAUCUGAGGCCCGUGUUCCGAGGCUGCGCUGCUGGCAUCGCAUGACUUAGGAGCGCUGGGAACGUCCCUGCCACGCAAUGCGCCCAUGUGACAGAUAGCGAGAUGGCCUGAAGGUUAAACCCGCCUGGAUUAGCUGAGCUCACAUCCCGACUCGGGAUGGAAAAUAUUUUUUCUUUUGCUAAACAUAAAGGCAGCCUCCAGAUCGUUAUCCUUGUGAGCCCUGUGGCCUCUGCUGUUCCUGCUGUUAUCUCGAUGAUGAAGAUGUUUGCAGGGCACAGAAGAUGAACCACAGAGGAUUAAGUGCCGGGACUGGGGGUGGAGGGGCCUCGGGCUGUCAGCCAAGUGAAGUGAUCAUCUCACAGCAUGCGGGCCUAGCGGGUCCUUAUCAGGAAGGUCCACGGCUACAGCGCCGGUUUGAAAACACGGACCCGAGGUUCUUUGCCGCUCCUCCUGCUGCGUCCGGGCUCCACGCGCCAAACCGAGGUGCUCUCUGUCCAGGCCUGCCCACUGCCCAUCCCGGGAACCAGGCCACGAGGAAGCCGUGCCCCCUGGGGACGCCUUGGGGACGCCACUGUGGGGGCGGGGCCUGUAGCUGAUGCCAGGCGAGCGGGGCUGGCCCGUGCCCACCCAGCCCGGUCCCUGCUGGGCAGCAGUGAGCUCCUCCGGUGCAUUUGAAGGCACUGGGUUUGGGGACGCUUGGAACACGCCAUAGGCAACAGGAACUACUGUUUCAGGGUACUGUUAGGAUCCGUCGCCACACGGGCUGUCCACACCCUCGCGUGUCUGUGUCUGCUGGAACUUUCCUACUCCGAGGGGCACAGUCUCCGCAGUGAUCAUACCGAACCUGCUUUGCCCGCAUUUCCAAUAGCUCUCGCUUUACCGAGUUCUCAUGCUGCUUGACGUCAGAGCCAACAGCCCCCUCUCCUCCAGAAGCGGCUCGUCUGGGCGCAGACGCGGACGCUGCGCCUGCGCGCCCUCGCUCAGCCAGCCUUGCCCUCCCUUUGUUUCCCAAUGUCUGUUGUUAUUUUCCUUUAUUGACUUCCUCUGACAAAAUAUCUGUUAAAAAUAAAAUCAAAACCCUUCUGA